GGGCCGUUAGCUCAAUGGUAGAGCACCGGGCUUUUAACCCGUUGGUUGAAGGUUCGAGUCCUUCACGGCCCACCA
rnacentral:tRNA from 1 species